rnacentral:rRNA from 1 species
GUCGGGAGGGGGCGGCUCAUCACCCUGUGACAUACCUAAAACGUUGCUUCGGCGGGAACAGACGGCCCUGUAACAACGGGCCGCCCCCGCCAGAGGACCCCUAACUCUGUUUUUAUAAUGUUUUUCUGAGUAAACAAGCAAAUAAAUUAAAACUUUCAACAACGGAUCUCUUGGCUCUGGCAUCGAUGAAGAACGCAGCGAAAUGCGAUAAGUAAUGUGAAUUGCAGAAUUCAGUGAAUCAUCGAAUCUUUGAACGCACAUUGCGCCCGCCAGUAUUCUGGCGGGCAUGCCUGUUCGAGCGUCAUUACAACCCUCAGGCCCCCGGGCCUGGCGUUGGGGAUCGGCGGAAGCCCCCUGUGGGCACACGCCGUCCCUCAAAUACAGUGGCGGUCCCGCCGCAGCUUCCAUUGCGUAGUAGCUAACACCUCGCAACUGGAGAGCGGCGCGGCCAUGCCGUAAAACACCCAACUUCUGAAUGUUGACCUCGAAUCAGGUAGGAAUACCCGCUGAACUUAAGCAUAUCA